rnacentral:rRNA from 1 species
AGCGAACGCUGGCGGCAGGCCUAACACAUGCAAGUCGAACGGACCCUUCGGGGUUAGUGGCGGACGGGUGAGUAACACGUGGGAACGUGCCCUUUGGUUCGGAAUAGCUCCUGGAAACGGGUGGUAAUGCCGAAUGUGCCCUUCGGGGGAAAGAUUUAUCGCCAUUGGAGCGGCCCGCGUCUGAUUAGCUAGUUGGUAGUGUAACGGACUACCAAGGCGACGAUCAGUAGCUGGUCUGAGAGGAUGAUCAGCCACAUUGGGACUGAGACACGGCCCAAACUCCUACGGGAGGCAGCAGUGGGGAAUCUUGCGCAAUGGGCGAAAGCCUGACGCAGCCAUGCCGCGUGAAUGAUGAAGGUCUUAGAAUUGUAAAAUUCUUUCACCGGGGACGAUAAUGACGGUACCCGGAGAAGAAGCCCCGGCUAACUUCGUGCCAGCCGCCGCGGUAA